rnacentral:rRNA from 1 species
CCAAUAGCGUAUAUUAAAGUUGUUGCAGUUAAAAAGCUCGUAGUUGAAUUUCGGGGCUAGUAGGUUGGUCAUGCCUCUGGUAUGUACUGAUCUCACUGAUUCCUCCCUCUUGACGAACUGUAAUGUCAUUAAUUUGGUGUUGCAGGAAAUCAGGACUGUUACUUUGAAAAAAUUAGAGUGUUUAAAGCAGGCUUAGGCUUGAAUACAUUAGAAUGGAAUAAUGAAAUAGGACGUUUGAACCUAUUUUGUUGGUUUCUAGGAUCGACGUAAUGAUUAAUAGGGAUAGUUGGGGGCAUUAGUAUUCAAUUGUCAGAGGUGAAAUUCUUGGAUUUAUUGAAGACUAACUACUGCGAAAGCAUUUGCCAAGGAUGUUUUCAUUAAUCAAGAACGAAAGUUAGGGGAUCGAAGACGAUCAGAUACCGUCGUAGUCUUAACCAUAAACUAUGCCGACUAGGGAUCGGAUGAUGUUAAUUUUUUAAUGACUCAUUCGGCGCCUUACG